rnacentral:rRNA from 1 species
CGCGGCCUAUCAGCUUGUUGGUGAGGUAAUGGCUUACCAAGGCGACGACGGGUAGCCGGCCUGAGAGGGUGACCGGCCACACUGGGACUGAGAUACGGCCCAGACUCCUACGGGAGGCAGCAGUGGGGAAUAUUGCACAAUGGGCGCAAGCCUGAUGCAGCAACGCCGCGUGAGGGAUGACGGCCUUCGGGUUGUAAACCUCUUUUGGUAGGGAAGAAGCUUUCGAGUGACGGUACCUGCAGAAAAAGCACCGGCUAACUACGUGCCAGCAGCCGCGGUAAUACGUAGGGUGCAAGCGUUGUCCGGAAUUAUUGGGCGUAAAGAGCUCGUAGGCGGUUUGUCGCGUCUGCUGUGAAAUCCCGAGGCUCAACCUCGGACGUGCAGUGGGUACGGGCAGGCUUGAGUGCGGUAGGGGAGAUUGGAAUUCCUGGUGUAGCGGUGGAAUGCGCAGAUAUCAGGAGGAACACCGAUGGCGAAGGCAGAUCUCUGGGCCGCUACUGACGCUGAGGAGCGAAAGCAUGGGGAGCGAACAGGAUUAGAUACCCUGGUAGUCCAUGCCGUAAACGUUGGGAACUAGAUGUAGGGGCCUUUCCACGGCUUCUGUGUCGACGCUAACGCAUUAAGUUCCCCGCCUGGGGAGUACGGCCGCAAGGCUAAAACUCAAAGGAAUUGACGGGGGCCCGCACAAGCGGCGGAGCAUGCGGAUUAAUUCGAUGCAACGCGAAGAACCUUACCAAGGCUUGACAUAUACGAGAACACUGUAGAGAUACAGGACUCUUUGGACACUCGUAUACAGGUGGUGCAUGGUUGUCGUCAGCUCGUGUCGUGAGAUGUUCGGUUAAGUCCGGCAACGAGCGCAACCCUCGUCCUAUGUUGCCAGCACGCUAUGGUGGGAACUCAUGGGAUACUGCCGUGGUCAACACGGAGGAAGGUGGGGAUGACGUCAAAUCAUCAUGCCCCUUAUGUCUUGGGCUUCACGCAUGCUACAAUGGCCGGCACAAUGGGCAGCGAUACCGUGAGGUGGAGCGAAUCCAAAAAACCGGUCUCAGUUCGGAUUGGGGUCUGCAACUCGACCCCAUGAAGUCGGAGUCGCUAGUAAUCGCAGA